ACGAACGCUGGCGGCGUGCUUAACACAUGCAAGUCGAACGGAAAGGCCCCUUUGGGGGUACUCGAGUGGCGAACGGGUGAGUAACACGUGAGUAACCUGCCCUUGACUUCGGGAUAACAUCAGGAAACUGGGGCUAAUACCGGAUAGGAAUCCUUGCUGCAUGGUGGGGGUUGGAAAGCUUCGGCGGUUUUGGAUGGACUCGCGGCUUAUCAGCUUGUUGGUGGGGUAGUGGCUUACCAAGGCUUUGACGGGUAGCCGGCCUGAGAGGGCGACCGGCCACAUUGGGACUGAGAUACGGCCCAGACUCCUACGGGAGGCAGCAGUGGGGAAUAUUGCACAAGGGGCGGAAGCCUGAUGCAGCAACGCCGCGUGCGGGAUGACGGCCUUCGGGUUGUAAACCGCUUUCAGCAGGGGCGAAGCUUGUGGUGACGGUACCUGCAGAAGAAGCACCGGCUAACUACGUG
rnacentral:rRNA from 1 species